GACACUUUGGCCGAGUGGUUAAGGCGCAGGCCUGCUAAGCCUGUGGGUUCGCCCGCCUGGUAUGUUCCCCUACAAUAUUCACAUAGAUGAAUAUCAAUUUCUAACAAUCUAUCACAGGGUUCGAAUCCCAGAGGUGUCG